rnacentral:rRNA from 1 species
CCUACGGGUGGCUGCAGUCGAGAAUCUUCGGCAAUGGACGAAAGUCUGACCGAGCGACGCCGCGUGUGGGAUGAAGGUCUUCGGAUUGUAAACCACUGUCGAGGGGAAUCAAAUGCAAGGGGGUCCUCCCCCUUGUUUGAGAGAACCCUGGAGGAAGGGGAGGCUAAGCUCGUGCCAGCAGCCGCGGUAAGACGAGCUCCCCGAACGUUAUUCGGUAUCACUGGGCUUAAAGAGUUCGUAGGCGGCGAAGUAGGUGAGGUGUGAAAGCCCUCGGCUCAACCGAGGAACUGCGCUUCAAACCGCUUUGCUAGAGGGAGAUAGGGGUAAGCGGAACAGAUGGUGGAGCGGUGAAAUGCAUUGAUAUCAUCUGGAACACCGGUGGCGAAAGCGGCUUACUGGGUCUUUUCUGACGCUGAGGAACGAAAGCUAGGGUAGCGAACGGGAUUAGAUACCCCAGUAGUC